rnacentral:rRNA from 1 species
AACGAACGCUGGCGGCGUGCCUAACACAUGCAAGUCGAACGAAGCCUUCGGGCUUAGUGGCGGACGGGUGAGUAACACGUGGGAACGUACCUUUUGGUUCGGAAUAACGCAGAGAAAUUUGCGCUAAUACCGGAUGAGCCCCUCGGGGGAAAGAUUUAUCGCCGAAAGAUCGGCCCGCGUUGGAUUAGGUAGUUGGUGUGGUAAAGGCGCACCAAGCCUACGAUCCAUAGCUGGUCUGAGAGGAUGAUCAGCCACACUGGGACUGAGACACGGCCCAGACUCCUACGGGAGGCAGCAGUGGGGAAUCUUGCGCAAUGGGCGAAAGCCUGACGCGGCCAUGCCGCGUGAAUGAUGAAGGUCUUAGGAUUGUAAAAUUCUUUUACCAGGGACGAUAAUGACGGUACCUGGAGAAAAAGCCCCGGCUAACUUCGUGCCAGCAGCCGCAGUAACAC